GCCAGCAGGAUUCCUUAACUCAGUUGGUAAAGCAUGAGACUCUUAAUCUCAGGGUCAUGGGUUUGAGCCCCAUGUUGGGCA